rnacentral:lncRNA from 1 species
UCGAAACUUUUCCUUACAUUUUGACAGUCAUUAGCUUUACAUAAAUACCCAUAAGUCAGUAGUUUCUUCCUAAUUUUUACAUCAAUAACCUUCAACUUUUAUCAACAAAAGUAUACAUUUAUAAGCCCAAGGUUAACUCAAAAACUGACUACUAAAUAACCCAAAAAUCAGCCACCAACAACCAUCUUCAUGAAAAGAUGAUAACCCAAAAACCAGCCACCAACAACCAUCUUUCAUGUAGAGACAAUAAAG